rnacentral:rRNA from 1 species
CAGCCGCCGCGGUAAUACGGAGGGUGCAAGCGUUAAUCGGAAUUACUGGGCGUAAAGCGCACGCAGGCGGUCUGACAAGUCAGAUGUGAAAUCCCCGGGCUUAACCUGGGAACUGCAUUUGAAACUGUCAGGCUGGAGUCUUGUAGAGGGGGGUGGAAUUCCAGGUGUAGCGGUGAAAUGCGUAGAGAUCUGGAGGAAUACCGGUGGCGAAGGCGGCCCCCUGGACAAAGACUGACGCUCAGGUGCGAAAGCGUGGGGAGCAAACAGGAUUAGAUACCCGGGUAGUCCCUGUCUCUUAUAC